GAUGAACGCUAGCUACAGGCUUAACACAUGCAAGUCGAGGGGAAACGGCAUUGAGUGCUUGCACUCUUUGGACGUCGACCGGCGCACGGGUGAGUAACGCGUAUCCAACCUUCCCAUUACUGUGGGAUAACCUGCCGAAAGGCAGACUAAUACCGCAUAGUCUUCGAUGACGGCAUCAGAUUUGAAGUAAAGAUUUAUCGGUAAUGGAUGGGGAUGCGUCUGAUUAGCUUGUUGGCGGGGUAACGGCCCACCAAGGCAACGAUCAGUAGGGGUUCUGAGAGGAAGGUCCCCCACAUUGGAACUGAGACACGGUCCAAACUCCUACGGGAGGCAGCAGUGAGGAAUAUUGGUCAAUGGACGGAAGUCUGAACCAGCCAAGUAGCGUGCAGGAUGACGGCCCUAUGGGUUGUAAACUGCUUUUGUAUGGGGAUAAAGUUAGGGACGUGUCCCUAUUUGUAGGUACCAUACGAAUAAGGACCGGCUAAUUCCGUGCCAGCAGCCGCGGUAAUACGGAAGGUCCAGGCGUUAUCCGGAUUUAUUGGGUUUAAAGGGAGCGUAGGCUGGAGAUUAAGUGUGUUGUGAAAUGUAGACGCUCAACGCCUGAAUUGCAGCGCAUACUGGUUUCCUUGAGUACGCACAACGUUGGCGGAAUUCGUCGUGUAGCGGUGAAAUGCUUAGAUAUGACGAAGAACUCCGAUUGCGAAGGCAGCUGACGGGAGCGCAACUGACGCUUAAGCUCGAAGGUGCGGGUAUCAAACAGG
rnacentral:rRNA from 1 species